rnacentral:tRNA from 1 species
ACUUUUAUAGGAAACCAGCCUUCCACCUGGUCUUAGGCACCAAGAACCUUGGUGCAACUCCAAGUGAAAGUA